GACGACGCUGGCGGCGUGCCUAACACAUGCAAGUCGAGCGGGGUUGAGGCGAGAGGUAACUCGAACUUCUACCUAGCGGCGGACGGGUGAGUAACGCGUGGGCAACCCGCCUCAAGGUUUGGGAUAACAGCCCGAAAGGGCUGCUAAUACCGGAUAUGCCUAUGGCCUCGCAUGGGGCUAUGAGCAAAGGGGAAACCCGCCUUGAGAUGGGCCCGCGUCCCAUCAGCUAGUUGGUGAGGUAACAGCUCACCAAGGCGACGACGGGUAGCCGGCCUGAGAGGGUGACCGGCCACACUGGGACUGAGACACGGCCCAGACUCCUACGGGGGGCAGCAGUGGGGGAUCUUGCACAAUGGGCGAAAGCCUGAUGCAGCGACGCCGCGUGAGCGAAGAAGGCCUUCGGGUUGUAAAGCUCUGUCUGGAGGGACGAACAAAAUGACGGUACCUCCGGAGGAAGCCACGGCUAACUACGUG
rnacentral:rRNA from 1 species